CUGGACCCGCCCCCGCACAGCUUCCCAGCAGUCCCGAUUCCGCCUGAGGCUCCAGAAGGCGAAGCUGUACAGGAGGCCACUUUUCUUCUCAGCCUAGAACUCGAGAGACCUGAAAGGAAGGACGACUGGCCACAGGAGAUGUUUCACAGAGCCGCUGAAUGAACAACACAGUCAAUUCUGAUCAACUUUCCAGUGCUAUCUGGGUGUAAGUGAGUGGCCCUGGAGGUGGGUGCCUCUCCCCGGCGCAGUUUUUCCUUCCAUCACAAGCAUGGCUGAAGCUGGGUGGUGGUGCAUACAGAUUCCAGCCAGCAAGGAGGGGAAAGAGAGUUCAGAGGACUCACCUCCACUGUCCCCGACCCAGGCCUGUAGCAUCUAUAUUGGCUCCUCUCAGGUUCCACAGAAUUCCUCAAGAUGACUGAGGUUGGUCCCUGAAGAAACCAAAUUCAGUGUAAGAAAACCAACAUCACAAAGAGGGGCAGAAGCCUGAGCAGGCAGAGGUGGGGGAAGGACAGAGCCAUGGAAUGGCCAGAGCCGGACAGAGCCAGGAGGUAAGAGGGCACAGACAGAGUGCAUUCAGGCAGGGACAUCAGCUGGUCUAAAGAUGAAGGCUGAGGAAGCCACUGGAGGAUGUGCCCAUGCAUAAGAAGGGUUAA
rnacentral:lncRNA from 1 species